AUUCUAGUAGGGAAGGGAGCCGUGGUGGUUAGGACAUCUGCUCCCUUCUCAGAGCCAGAGGAAGGAGUCCUGUGAUGCCUGAAACCUGGAUUUGGGGACCUUCUGGGGCAGCAAGCAGGUGAGCAUCCAGACCACCCAUGGUCUGUUGUCUAGAGCUAACAGGACAGGAACAGGCAAGCGUGAAGGACUCUCUCCGGCUCCCUCUCCAGGGUCAAUUCUCAGGUCCAGGCUAGCCCUUUCUCUCCUCUAGAGGAGGUUCUGAAGGCUGGAAUUUCCCCAAGAAAGAAAAAGGCAGAGGAAUUAAGUUCUCUCUAGACGGAACGGAGCCAUCUGGGGAGGCAGAGUGAAUCUGCAGAUGACCUGGGGGAAGUGGUCAGCUUGUCACCCCGGGGUGCCUGUCCCACUCUGCCUCCACUGUGGGAACCCUGUGCAGCUGCCAUUCGGAUUGCAUAGAUGGCAACAGCGGGCUGUGACCGACAAUUGCCGCCACCUGGGGUGUGCCCACAGCCUUGUUCCCAGAGCCACGGUUUCCAGUCCUUCUCUGCAUGAGGGCCCAACCCGAGGAGGCUGGGGUCUACAUAUUGUCAUUUAGGGGAGAGCCAGACUCUGGCAUGGGAGGAGAAGGCCUAGACUUCUCGGUUGUGACGAAAUGAACCUUGAGGCCUGGUUUUCUAGAAUAAUUUCUCAGUCAAGAGAGAGAAUGCAUCCUGAAGGAAGAUGCAUUACAGUUCCAACUCAUUACAGUUGGAAACUCCAAGUGUCCUCUACCAGCUGACAUCUCAGCCCUCCAUGCUCCAAAAUUCUUAUAACACUUGCCCCACACGCCCAGAUUCGGGCCUGGGCCUUGCUCCGACACCCCUGUAUGCCUACACCAUGCCUCCUGGGGAGAAACUUGCCCUUUCUACCGCUUUCACUUAUAAUGAUGAGGUAUAAAUGGCUCCACCUGGAUCUGCUACUAUUAAUAGCAACCUCUGCCACUCCCAGUCAAACAACCCCAGGCGCUGUCAAUGAAAGCCCCAGGCUUCACGAGAGUCACAGAAGACUGUACAGAUGUCAGACCAGCAAUCUACGCCCUUGUCGAGGUGGCCCCACACAGCUUCUCAUGGCAUCUCCGCUGCAGGGUCUCUGGACCUCAGGACCCUUCAGCCAGCUCUGCUCUCAGUUUCUGCACUACUCGGACAUUGUUCUCCCUCUGCCACUGAGGAUUUGUCUGUAUAACAGCCGAGUUUCCAGAAGUUCAUUCACUCAGGUGGUGAGGUGAAGCCUAGAGUUUUGAUGACUUGCUCAAAAAUCCUAGGAACCCCUGUGCUGCAGAAGCUCUUCUCCUCUGACCGUAACAAACCCUCAGGCCCUGCUUAAGUCUCAGCUCUUCCAUGUGGCCCCACAGGCCCUCGGCUUCCAUCUACCCCAUUAGCGACACUGCCAGGCAUCUUUCUGCAUCAAGUCAGAGCUCCAGGCUCCUGGCUGUGGCCGAAGCAGGGAAGCACAAAUGAGAAAGGCAUGAACUGAGAGUCCCAGUGGGGAAAUGACCGUGAAGCAGCUUCCUGGGGAUAGAGCCUGUUGGGCCUGUUCCUCUUCUCUGCUGUUGGUAGAAAAGCACUUCUGACCCACUGUUACCUCUGCUGAGGAUGUGGCCAAGAUAUUAACCUCAGCUCAUGCCCAGGGAGUGAAG
ensembl:lncRNA